GGCAUUAAGUACACCUGCCGUGCUGUUGCAACCAUCACCACCACCCACUUCCAGAACACUGUCACUACCCCGAACAGAAACUCUGUGCCCAUCAGCGGUCACUCCCCAGCCGCUGGGAACCACUCAUCUACUUUCUGUCCCUGAAUCUGCCUAUUCAAGACAUUCACACACUGUGUGGCUUUCUGCACCUGGCCGCUUCCAUGCAGCAAAAUGUUUUCAAGGUCCGUCACGGUGCAGUGUGUGUCAGAGCUUCAUUCCUUCUCGUGACCCGAUAAUAUUCCAUUGUCUGGAUGGACCGUGUGUUGUUUACCCAUCAUCUGCUGAUGGGCGUUUGGCCGUUUCCACCUGUUAGCGGUCUUGAACCGCGCGCCGGGAGCACACCUGCGCGGGCGUCCGGGUGCACUUGUCCUUCCUCUGGGGUGUGUACCUAGGCGUGCAAUUGCUGGGUCACCUGGAAACUCUGUUUAACUGUUUGAGAAACUUCUGGACUGUUUUCCACAACGGCUGCACCGUUUCACCUCCACCAGUGUUGCACGAGGUUGAACAGGAAGGUUUAAGGAUCACGCAGAAUAACUUCACUGCUCUAAAAAUCCUCUGUGCUCCCUCCCCUGAGCCCUGGAAACCCCUGAUCUUUCUACCGUCUCCACUCUUUGGGGCGGAGGGAGACUUGACACGCACCGAGGAGGGGUGACGUGAGGAUGGAGCAGAGGGUGUUUGAAGAUGCUGGCCUUGAAGACUGGAGUCCUGCAGCCACAAGCCAAGGAUGCCUGAAGCCACCAGGAGCUGGGAGAGGCAGGAACGACUGUCCCCUGGAGCCUCCGGGGGGAGCGUGUCCUGCUGAUGCCUUGAUUUUAGACCAGGGAAACUGACCUCAGACUUCUGACCUCCAGAACUAGGAGGACCCAGUCGCGAUGGGCAGAGAUGCUCCUAGUCAGAGAGGCCGGGGGUCACCAGGUGAAAGCAAGCAGAUGGUGCCCCCCUCCCAGAAUCCUCUAACCGGGGGUGGGAGCAUCUGCUCGGGCCCAGCCCAGGCCCACUGUAGCCCCUCUCUGAGGCUCUGCGUCCCCACCCCCUCCUCGCCCACAGGUCCCUGUCCUCCCCUCCUGCAAUCGCAAACCUGCCCAGGCCCAGGCCCGCCCCCGGGGGUCUGCAGCUCAGUGGCAUACACUCCAUUUCAGGGAGAAAUCUUUCUUCUCUGGGUCACGAGGGGGUACAGAGAGCAAAUGGCUUUCUCACCUGAAAAAUGCACUCAGUUGUAAAAUGCAUCUCUUGCUCAUAAUGUCAGGGGCUCCCUGCAGCCCUGCAAUGAACCACUGGUGCC
rnacentral:lncRNA from 1 species